ACCUCUCUUCUAGCUCAGUAGUCUUCAUAUGCGACCUCUUACCAAUUACUUAUCUUUAUCGGUCUCUAAUCCCAUAUGGACUCCUGCCAUACAAUCUGUCUCCACUCACAGUCUCAAUUCCUCACGAAUUUAAUCCAAUAUAAACCCUCAUUAAAUUUCCUUAAUUCGUGCCUCCUCUUCCAAAAGAAAAAUUCAUUUCCUGGUUCUAUCGUUCAACAACAGUGCUACCACCCAUUUAUUCCUCUCAAUCAACCACUCCUCUAGUUCGUUCAAUAUUUGGUGAUUCCCCAAUCCUCCCAUCAUCUCCUAUACUUUCUCAUGGCUUAUAGCUUGCUUCUAAUCUCAGUUCUGACUCGAUAACAAUGAACUAUUUGCAAAACAAUCCUCAAAAAGAUGGCGUGGUGACUCGAGCAAUGUUACGCAAAAUGAAUUAAUCCACAACAGAGGCCCUCACUAUAGCUAUUGACAAGAUUUUUGAUAUUGAACCAUCAUGUUACUCACAAGCUGUUAAAUUUAGUAAAUGGCGUGAUGUUAUAUAUGGAUUUGGAGAUUAAUGCUUUAAUUUUGUAAGUUACGUGAGUUCUUGUUCCACAACCUCCUCAUAUGAAUAUUAUUGGUUGUAAAUGGGUUUACCGAAUUAAACAAAAAUUCAAUGGAGAGAUUGACAGAUAUAAGGCGUGCCUCUUUGCCAAGG
rnacentral:lncRNA from 1 species